UACGUAGGGGCAAGCGUUAUCCGGAAUCAUUGGCGUAAGCGCGUGUAGGCGGUUCUGUAAGUCCGCUCUGAAGCCCAGGCUCAACCCUGGAGGCGGUGGAUACUACAGAACUGGAGUACGGAAGAGGAGAUUGGAAUCCUGGUGUAGCGGUGAAUGCGCAGAUAUCAGGAGGAACACCGAGUGGCGAAGGCAGGUCUCUGGCCACUACUGACGCUGAGAAGCGAAGCAU
rnacentral:rRNA from 1 species